UUUUUUCAAAAAAAAAAAAAACCCAAUUGUUCUCUCUCUCUCAUUUCGCGGAAAAAUUCCCAGCAAACUAUCUAUCUCUUUUCAUGGCGGAAUCACCAAAGUACAUUGACCCCUAUGAGUGCAGAGAAGCUGUAGCGAUUUCGCCAAAACUCUCUCUCUCUCUUUUGUUCUGUUGAACCCGGGAUUACAGAGAAUCCCGCCCGUGUUUAAACCCUCCGACGAGCUCUCCGGCAGCCAUGUACGGCGGAGGUGCGUUUCUUCUUCAAACCACGAAUUCUCCUUCAAGCGAGUCCAAUCGGUCAGCAAAUCAGCAGGUCCAUUCGAUGCACUAAUCUGCGUCGGCCAAUUCUUCCCCGAUUCACUGGAGCUUUUAGACGAGUUUCUGGAUUACGUCGAAGGCCGAGCUCAGGUCCUGAUUCCUACUUACUUCACCGGAGACUACGGCGUCCCCGCCCCAAAAUCCUAUCCGCGACCUCGAAGAAAACUGAGAAUCAAGGGUUUAAGAUGGACGGGCUCGUGGUGGCACACAUCUUGUUUUGGUUAAGAGGAAGUGGGAAGUUCACUCUUCUUGGUUUGUCUGUUUCUUACUUAUCUGGUACGGAGUCAUCUGAUGGUCAGUUUGGGAAGUACAGUCAAGAUGAUGUUGAUGCUCUUCGUGCUCUUGCUGAUGAUUCUGGAGUUGUUGAUUUGUUUUUGACUAAUGAAUGGCCUGUGGGAGUCACGAACAGAGCUGCGGAGUCUGAUAUUCCUACAGAGGUUUCUGAUUCGUCUUGUUGUGAUUCCAAUGUUUCUGAAUUGGUGAAGGAAGUUAAACCUCGUUAUCCCAUUGCAGGUUCGAUGGGGGGUGUUCUAUGCCCGUGAACCUUACUUGAACGUUGAUUCUAGUCAUGUAACUCGCUUUCUUGGCCUUGCUCAAGUUGGAAACAAAAACAAACAGGUGUGUUCUUUGAUAGUUACUCUUGUCCCAAGAGCUUGGUACUUAUUGGUCACAUCUAACACUCUUGGUAGUUAGCUUUAAUUUACUUAAGUGCUCAAUGCUUGGUAGAGUCUAGUAUCUUGGUAGUUAGCUUUAAUUAGGUUGUGAUGCAAGUAAUCUAUUAUUACAAGUUUUCAAAUUUUUGAAACUUAGAACCUUUAAUUGGUUCUAUCAUUGGAAGAUAUAAAACUAAACAAGUAUCUAAACUUUUUUAAUUUGAUUAUUUUCAAUUAAAAAUUUGUUUUAGAACUCUAAGACCAUAUCUAUUGUUGGAGAUGGUCUAAGAAAGGAAAAAACCUUGUGGUUUCUAAAAAAGUAUUUCACCCAAAAAGUAAUCAUAAAAAAAACAAAAAAUAUGAAAGAGAAUGUAGAAAAAUUUAGAACAGCUUAUUGUUUGAGAAACUAUGAAUAAAAGUUGAGAGAUUAGCUUUACAUUUGGUCCAGAAAAAUAAAAUUUAAUUAUAAUUUAGUUACUUCUAAAUAUUAAUAAAAUAAAAAAUUAUUUUGGAAAACUUAUGGUUGAUGAUGCUCUAAGAGUAACUUCAUUGGCAAGUUUCUCAAAUACAUCUCUUUCCUUUUGUUGGUUCAACUCGAUAUCGCGUGAUUACGCUGAGCCUCUCAACAAAGUGGCAACAUAUACUACAACUGUGAAAGAGGGCUCAUCAGGGAAGCCCGUUGUUGUUGCUGCUGCACCACCAAGGUCCAAGGAUCAAGAACGAGCUUUGAAACCAGUUAGAAAGUUUGAUCCAGAGCCAAGCGGUUAUACAUGGGACACGCUGAGGCUAAAGUGCUGAACAAGUAUUUCAAUGGAGCGCUGAACAAGUAUUUUGCCGAGCGAUAUGAUACGUUCCAGAGGAUUUAUCUAAGGGUCAGACUGGUUCAAACGCAGCGGUUGCAGUUGCGGUUGUGAGAGUUUACGGAUGCGGGUGGUUGCGGUUUCUAGCGGUUUUAAGAGAUUUGUACGACUGAUUAUGCGGUUAGAAAUUGGUGUGUUUGCGGGAUACUUACGACUGGUUAACUACCACAUACAUCAGCGGUUAAAUAAUAAAUUAACAAUAUUUAUAUUUUA